UAUUGUGAUCGCUGUUCAAGCUGUAAGUGCUAAAAAAAGAGGUAGACAGUGCCAGGUGAAACCUCAAGAGAGUUUCAUGUUGAAGAACCCACCCAGUCAGGGCCUUGGUCCUGUGGAGCUAAAUUAUGCCGCUUUAAAAUUCAGUGGG